CAGCCCCUAUUCAGCAGUUCCUGCUCCCUGUGGAUUGGAAGACAUCAGGGAGCUGCUGAUAAAACUGGAUGUCCCGUGGGGGGAAGCAAGAGAGAUGGAUGCUCAGUCACCAGAGCACAGUGGUAGCAGAGAGCAGGGAUCCAGCCAGAGAGCCAGUGACAGAGGAGUCUCCACAAGGGUGCUCAGAGGAGCACCUGGUACAAGGUAUUCAAACCCCAGGAGCAGAAGACAGGAGGUGUUAUCAUUAGAAACCCCAGCAAGGGUGAGCUUGGAGAGCAAGGAGUUCUUGCUCUUCAGUAACCCCUGAGACACCUGAGAAAAGCUGCAGGAGGACACCACACCAGUACACAGAGCAACAACCAGGGGUUGCAGUUUGCUGUUGCAGAGUGGUCAAAUAGACUAAGUAAGGUACCUGAAUGAAUUGGUAAGGAGUGAAUUUGAUUUAAUGUGAUUGUGGGGACAUGACUACUAGGAAUAAGGAAUUAAAUGAACUGAUUGGAGGCAAAACAGAUAUUUGUGAGAAUUAAUUUUAUUUAUCACAAUGAAUUAAGUUCAUUUAAUUGAUUCAAGAUUCGAAUGCCUGGUUGGCCCCAAAGGAGGUCCCACCAAGAUUAAUUUAAGUUUGACACAUUUAAAACUGAUUAAAUUGAUAAACUGACACAUUGGAUGAUUUAAGCCAUAAUCUAUGUUAAGGAACGGUGUCCUAAGAGUAUGCCACUAGCUGAAGACGAGACUGAGAGAUGGUCACUGCAUAUGCUUGGAGACAAAGAUCCGACAGUAUCCAAACAACUGGCUGGCAUGUGAAAAGGGAGGCAGAGCCCCGUAGUCAAGGCACCCGCAGAACCCAUGCACAGACUCUCUAAUAACAAGAUACCUCCUUCGUACUGAGCAAGAACAAGACAUGGCAGUGUCAACUACAGCUUCCAGAAGCCUGCAGGGCACUGGAGAAAGAAACUAUAGUAUGAACUACAACCCCCAGAAGCUUCCAGGGGACUGGAGGAAUGAGCUGCAACAUGCAUUACAGUUCCCAGAAGGCUGCAGGUGAUGAAGGAAGGGGAAAAGCAGCAACAGAGCAUAGGACACUGGCUGGGAGAGAGACCUGGCUGAAGACUUGGGGAGGAGCAGCAGAGCCAAGACUGCUGCAGCAAGGUAGUACGCAUGAAUUAUUGCCAUAUUCCUGUCUUUUGCCAGUCAUCCCAGGACAGAUCUUCACUGUACAACUUCAGGAACUGAUUAAGCAAAGCAGAUAAACGUGAAUUGUUAAAGAAGGAAGUACUGCAUUUAACAGGAUUUCUCAUGACUAAAAUUAAACAUGUGCUUAAGUACCAUGCUUUUGCACAUAUAAACACAACCCAGAAUAAAAUAUGCACCCUGUUUCUGAAAGGCAGAAUGAAAAAAAAAAAAUAAAAAAAUCUUUCUUUGUAGUAAGUAACUGAGUAGCAGCAUCUAAAGGGCUAAGACUGCUCUUGGUUCUGUUCCCUGUGGGCACCUAUACUUGUGCCAGAUGCCUGAUCUGACGUGUGCUAUUUAGCAUGCAUCACACCAGACUCAAUUUAUCAAGUGCUAAUUAGCACUCAAUAAAUCUACAGUCUGAAUCUACACUCCAAAUCUACACUACAGUGCUAAUUAACGCACUCCAGCAGCCUCGGCAUCACAUGUAUUCAGCA